rnacentral:lncRNA from 1 species
CCUUAUCCACACCAAAAUCUCAAAUCCCCUUGUUUGUUUUAUAACCGGAUAUAUAUCUUGAUGGCCAUUAUACAUAUCAAUUCCCUAAAUCCUUUUUGCUUGAUUUUUAUCAAUCCCAUAAACUUUAAGCAAUAAUCGGCUGAACCCCUAAAUCCAAAUCCGGCCAUGAUUUUUUUUCCGGCCAUGACCUUUUCCGGCCACAAUCUUUUCAACCAUAAUCUUUCAGUCAAACCCAAAGAUAU